GCGGGACACGUGGUAUCCUGUCUGAAUAUGGGGGGACCAUCCUCCAAGGCUAAAUACUCCUGACUGACCGAUAGUGAACCAGUACCGUGAGGGAAAGGCGAAAAGAACCCCGGCGAGGGGAGUGAAAAAGAACCUGAAACCGUGUACGUACAAGCAGUGGGAGCCUCUUAAUGGGGUGACUGCGUACCUUUUGUAUAAUGGGUCAGCGACUUAUAUUCUGUAGCAAGGUUAACCGAAUAGGGGAGCCGAAGGGAAACCGAGUCUUAACUGGGCGUUAAGUUGCAGGGUAUAGACCCGAAACCCGGUGAUCUAGCCAUGGGCAGGUUGAAGGUUGGGUAACACUAACUGGAGGACCGAACCGACUAAUGUUGAAAAAUUAGCGGAUGACUUGUGGCUGGGGGUGAAAGGCCAAUCAAACCGGGAGAUAGCUGGUUCUCCCCGAAAGCUAUUUAGGUAGCGCCUCGUGAAUUCAUCUCCGGGGGUAGAGCACUGUUUCGGCAAGGGGGUCAUCCCGACUUACCAACCCGAUGCAAACUGCGAAUACCGGAGAAUGUUAUCACGGGAGACACACGGCGGGUGCUAACGUCCGUCGUGAAGAGGGAAACAACCCAGACCGCCAGCUAAGGUCCCAAAGUCAUGGUUAAGUGGGAAACGAUGUGGGAAGGCCCAGACAGCCAGGAUGUUGGCUUAGAAGCAGCCAUCAUUUAAAGAAAGCGUAAUAGCUCACUGGUCGAGUCGGCCUGCGCGGAAGAUGUAACGGGGCUAAACCAUGCACCGAAGCUGCGGCAGCGACACUAUGUGUUGUUGGGUAGGGGAGCGUUCUGUAAGCCUGUGAAGGUGGCCUGUGAGGGUUGCUGGAGGUAUCAGAAGUGCGAAUGCUGACAUAAGUAACGAUAAAGCGGGUGAAAAGCCCGCUCGCCGGAAGACCAAGGGUUCCUGUCCAACGUUAAUCGGGGCAGGGUGAGUCGACCCCUAAGGCGAGGCCGAAAGGCGUAGUCGAUGGGAAACAGGUUAAUAUUCCUG
rnacentral:rRNA from 1 species